CAGGACCUCUGACUGUCUCUGUAGGUCCAGCAGAGAGGAGGUUUCCCUCACCGUCCAGCCAGAACACCUCAGGUUCUGGAUACCAGCCUGUAGAGUUACACUGUAGAACCACGGUCAUCUGGACAUCAGGUUGAAACACAGUCAUUAACUGAAACAGAAACAGCUGUGUAGGAGGCUUAACCGCCAAAAUCUGCUACCAAGGUGAGGUUGUGGAAGACAGUUUCAUGUCACAGGUCAUACACCAUGGCAAGACUGAGCAAAGCAGCAACACACAAGGUAGUUAUAUGAAUCAGCAAGGUCUCUUCCAGACAGACUUUGAAGCAAACUCAGGUUGCUGUGCUGUUCAAGCUAUCUGAAGAAGCACAAAGAAACAGGCAGUGUUGAGGAUUGUAGACGCAGUGGUAGGCCAAGGAAACUUAGUGCAGCUGAUGAAAAACACAUCAAGUAUAUUUCCCUUUCAAAUCGAAAGAUGUCCAGCAGUGCUAUCAGCCCAGGUACAUCCAUCUACUGCCCUGAGAAGUCUGGCCAGAAGUGGUCUUCAUGGAAGAGUUGCAGACAAAACGCCAAACCUUAGAUGUGGUAACAAGGCCAAGCGACUCAACUGGGCACGAAAACAUCAGAAGUGAGCUGCAGAAAAAUGGCAGCAGGUGCUCUGGACUGAUGAGUCAGAUGAGAGUGGUACAUUUAUGAGUGUCUGCAGGCAACAGUGAAGCAUGGUGGAGGUUCCUUACAAGUUUGGGACUGCAUUUCUACAAAUGGAGUUGGAUAUUCGGUCAGGAUUAAUUGUGUCCUCAAUGCUGAGAAAUAUAGGCAGAUAUUUAUCCAUCAUGCAAAACCAUCAGGGAGGCGUAUGAUUGGCUCCAAAUGUAUUAUGCAGUAGGACAACGAUGUCACUGAGAACUAUCUUCAACCUAAUGGAGAACAAGAAGUCCUGGAAGUGAUGGUAAGGCCCCCACAAAGCCCUGAUCUUAACAUCAUCGAGUCUGUCUGGGAUUACAUGAAGAGACAGAAGGAUUUGAGGAAGCCUACUUCCACAGAAGAUCUGUGUCCAAGAUGUUUGGAACAACCUACCAGCCGAGUUCCUUCAACAACUGUGUGCAAGUGUACCCAGAAGAAUUGAUGCUGUUUUGAAGGCAAAUAUUGAGAUUUCUCUUGGUCAUUCACUGCAUUUUGUUAAUUGAUGAGAAUAAACUAUAACACUUC